rnacentral:tRNA from 1 species
GGAAACUUAGGUUAAAUAAACCAGAGGCCUUCAAAGCCCCCUAAUAGGAGUUCAACCCUCCUAGUUUCCG